UCACCCUUCAAGCCCCCGGCUUGGUGUUGGACGGUUUGGUUUUGGUGACAAGACCCCUCCUAAAAUCAAUGACGGCGGCCUGUACGACCCCCGGUACACUGAGCUUCUUAACUGAGCAUGUAUCGGUCUCAGGGUAGACAGGACCCGGUCUUCUUCCUUGACCGGAAAUUUUUUCCAUAA
rnacentral:misc_RNA from 1 species